GGGACCAUAGCUCAAGGGCAGAGCAGUCGGCUCAUAACUGAUCGGUUCCUGGUUCGAAUCCAGGUGGUCCCA
rnacentral:tRNA from 1 species